rnacentral:lncRNA from 1 species
UUUUGCGACAUAUAACUUGAAUUUUAUUAGUUAAAUUUACGGCCAAGCUUUGACCCAAAAUAUACGGGGGCUAAUAAACCCGGGUGGGGGGAGUAGUACAAUAGUACCACGAGCAUAUGACAUCCCAAACCGUUGCAUGCAUUAUGUCCGCUUCCGGGAAAAGAACUUUGCUUCAGGAUCUUUCCAAAGAUAAAGGAAGUUGAUAGCAAGUCCGUGCUUGGCAUUAAAGCGGUGGAUCAACACAGGAUCUGCAGCUAAUUACAAUGCAAUCCCACACACAAAAACGUGCCAACACCGGCGCACCGAGGGAGGCCACACCAUUCCAAGAGUCCACGAGGAGUCUCCGCUCUCAACCAAGUACUCCCUCCCAGCCUACUCACCCGACUCGGUCCACCCGUAUGCGAGGUUUGGGUUUCGACAUUAAACGUCUUAUAUUUUGAGACCGAGGGAGUACCUACCAACGCGGCGUGACAUUUAUUAGGCGAAUUGUGUAGCUUGGCAUAGGUGCAGGCCAUCUG